rnacentral:rRNA from 1 species
GACGGAGGGUGCUAGCGUUGUUCGGAAUGACUGGGCGUAAAGGGCGCGUAGGCGGCCGCUUGCGUCGGAUGUGAAAGCCCGGGGCUCAACCCCGGAACGGCAUCCGAUACGGGGCGGCUCGAGACCGAGAGAGGUGAGUGGAAUACCCAGUGUAGAGGUGAAAUUCGUAGAUAUUGGGUGGAACACCGGUGGCGAAAGCGACUUACUGGACAUCUGUUGACGCUGAGGUGCGAAAGCGUGGGGAGCAAACAGG